UUGAAUUUUUGUUUUAUGCCAUGUGCUUGCUCAUUAUAUAAUUUUGAAUUAUUUAUUACAUGUGAUGUAAAUUAAUUUAGGGCUAAGCAUAUAGAUAGUUAAACUAAAUUCACAUACUAUAAAAGAUUCGAUCUUUGUGUUAUUAAAAAUAGUUUUUGUGACAAUUCCCUCUUAUUAAAAUUUUGAGUUCUUAAAUAAUAAAAUAUAAGAUAUUUUAUUAUAAAGCUAUCCAUCAAGGUAAUUAAUUUUACUUACUUCUUGUUUAUAAGGAGCGGCCUGACUACUAGGAGACUUAUAGUUCGAGAAUAUGUUAAAAUUAUUUAUUGCGUUAGAUGUAUGGAUUGAAAGGAUUAUUCAAUUUUACACUAAACGACUGGACAACUCGGGAGAGUAUAAAAUUUAAUAAGUUCUUUGCAAUCAUGAUGGUUGAACUCAACUAUGCCAAUAGGAA
rnacentral:lncRNA from 1 species